GAUGAACGCUGGCGGCGUGCCUAAUACAUGCAAGUCGAGCGAACAGAUGAGGAGCUUGCUCCUCUGACGUUAGCGGCGGACGGGUGAGUAACACGUGGCUAACCUACCUAUAAGACUGGGAUAACUUCGGGAAACCGGAGCUAAUACCGGAUAAUAUAUUGAACCGCAUGGUUCAAUAGUGAAAGACGGUUUUGCUGUCACUUAUAGAUGGAUCCGCGCCGCAUUAGCUAGUUGGUAAGGUAACGGCUUUCCAAGGCAACGAUGCGUAGCCGACCGGGGAGGGGGAUCGUCCACACUGGAACUGAGACACGGUCCAGACUCCUACGGGAGGCAGCAGUAGGGAAUCUGCCGCAAGGGGCGAAAGCCUGACGGAGCAACGCCGCGUGAGUGAGGAAGGUCUUCGGAUCGUAAAACUCUGUUAUUAGGGAAGAACAAAUGUGUAAGUAACUAUGCACGUCGUGACGGUACCUAAACAGAAAGCCACGGCUAACUACGUG
rnacentral:rRNA from 1 species